rnacentral:rRNA from 1 species
UACGUAGGGUGCAAGCGUUGUCCGGAAUUAUUGGGCGUAAAGGGCUCGUAGGCGGUCUGUCACGUCGGGAGUGAAAACUCAGGGCUUAACCCUGAGCCUGCUUCCGAUACGGGCAGACUAGAGGUAUGCAGGGGAGAACGGAAUUCCUGGUGUAGCGGUGAAAUGCGCAGAUAUCAGGAGGAACACCGGUGGCGAAGGCGGUUCUCUGGGCAUGUCCUGACGCUGAGGAGCGAAAGCGUGGGGAGCAAACAGG